rnacentral:lncRNA from 1 species
GCGGGGCCUCGGACCCCGCCCUCCGCCUUCCCCGGGAUUCCGUGCUGUGCGGGCCGGGCGCUGGCGUUGGAUUGAGUUCUGUGAGUUGACUGGGCAUUCUGCAUCACAAGGUGUGGCUGGGCACUGGAACAGCCGAAGUCACCUGGGAGCUGACUGGGUUGGACUGUCCAGGAUGGUUCACUCCUACGACAGUGGAUGCUCAACUGGGGCUGUCAACUGGAGCCCCCAUAGAUGGCCGUCUUCUCAUUGUAUCUUAACAUGGUGGAAGGAGAAUGAGAAAGCUCGCUUGUGUCUCUUUUUAUAAGGGCACUAAUCCAGACGCGGAGGGCUCACCUUUACAACAGCUAAACCUGAUCACCCCCCAGAGGCCCCAUCUCCAAAUACCAUCACAUUGGGGAUUGUGCUUUGACAUAUGAAUGUGGGAGGACACGAGCAUUCAGUCCAUAACAGGCACCAAGGCACCAAGUCAGUCUGCACAAGUGUGUCGCUGGGCAGAAGAACAAAAGAGAAGGAAGAAGAAAGAACACAGUACAGAAAGUGAGUGGCGGUACCACAAAGAGUCAUCAGCAAGUGCUGAUGGUGGCUCCGGCCAGCACAUUCCAAGCAUCCUUGGGUAGCCUGAUAAAUGGAGUGCAGAAUGUUCGGUAGCUCUGCAAGGAGUGGGAGUAUUUAUUGGGUCUGAGUGCUUGAUGCGAAACUUUCCUCCAAAGUUCCAAUUUUCUAUCCGCCAAGAUAAGUGAUGGAGGUUUAUGGUUCAUGUUGUAGCACAUCCACCCAGGCCAAGGACCUACAACUCUGAAUUUCUGGCCUGCCUCCUUCCAGCUAGAAGUGAAUCUAGAUUUACAUGCCAUCAGGAACAAGCAUCGUCUUCCUGUUCUGUGAGUUCCUAGUUGUAGUAGGUACUGCUUUCAUCCUGAGAAUAUCAAUCUACAUGCACAAGGUCCCUCUCUGUGGAGGAGUAGGUACUUAAACCCAAGAUAAGUGGAAACUUUAUAUCCAAGGAGACAGAAAAUAAAAUUUCAGUAUGUUUUAUAUUAAACAA